rnacentral:rRNA from 1 species
AGAGUUUGAUCCUGGCUCAGAGUGAACGCUGGCGGCGUGCCUAACACAUGCAAGUCGAACGAGAACGGAUAUAAGUUUACUUAUAUUGUCAGCUAAGUGGCGCACGGGUGAGUAAUAUAUAGUUAAUCUGCCCUGAAGAAGAGAAUAAUUGUUGGAAACGACUUGUAAUGCUCUAUAUGCCUUUAUCACAUAAGUGAGCAAGGGAAAUAUUUAUAGCUUCGGGAUGAGACUGUACGGUAUCAGCUAGUUGGUGAGGUAAUGGCUCACCAAGGCUAUGACAUCUAACUGGUUUGAGAGGAUGAUCAGUCACACUGGAACUGAGACACGGUCCAGACUCCUACGGGAGGCAGCAGUGGGGAAUAUUGCACAAUGGAGGAAACUCUGAUGCAGCAACGCCGCGUGGAGGAUGACACAUUUCGGUGCGUAAACUCCUUUUAUUAGGGAAGAUAAUGACGGUACCUAAUGAAAAAGC